AUGCAAUGAUGCUGAAAGCGAGACAAUCAACACAUCACUUUUGCUUUCUGCAACAUUUGCAUCUUGCAGAGCCUUCCCUUCUUGAUCCGAAUUUGCCAUUACAGACUCACAAUAUAAUAUUCAAUAUUACAAAUAAUUUCAAACAACCCAAGGCGAACCUUCGGCUCUUGAUACCACUUGUUGGGAAAAACGGGUAAUUUUCCCACUAAAACAAAACUCUAACAGAGCUACCCGACAAAUAAUAUUGAAUAAAUAAAGCGGAAUAAUAAAAGAGAUAAAGAGGAAAGAACACACCCGAAAAUUGUUAACGGAGUUCGGCCUGUUUAGCCUAAUCUCCGAGCACAGCAAAAACAGCUCACUUUUAUUACUAUGAGAGAAGAUAUUACAAAUUGGGAUAUAUAACAGUGAAGGAGAAGAGUUUAAUUUAUAACCCUCAAACCUCCUUCCCAAAC
rnacentral:lncRNA from 1 species